UAAUAGUGCCGUGAACAUCCUGGGAGUU
rnacentral:piRNA from 1 species